UCGGUUUUGCAUCGUGCAUAAAAAUAUUAAUCCGUAUCGAAAAUAAUGUUUCUUUGUGCAGAAUGAAGUGAAUGAGAGCCGCUUCCAUUAAUAAAAACGGAAAGGAUUUAGUUGACCGGAACGGUUCGCCGUUCGCUCUUAUCAUCGUCAUCGAAAAAUGAAAAAUGGGCAAAAAAUGUGUGGUGCACGGCUGCGGAAGCCGAACCGGAGAUACGGUUUCAUUUUACGGAUUUCCGAACGAUCCUGACACGUUGACAAAAACAGCAUCCCUGGAAAAACGUUUGACUCUGCCACUAGUGCAGCUGCGAGAAGCUGUGAAUCGAUAGCGAACGCAUGUAGAAGAUGCGAAGCCGUUUACCGAACAAACAGCACGGAGAUACUAACAAUAGUUAAUUUCCAGUGAAAAGGUUAUUCUCGAGGCGAAUCCCUGAAAAUUAUCAAUACGUGCAAUUCGAUUCUAAUGGAAGCCAGCCAGGAGAUACCGAACCAUUUGCUGGAGAAACAGUCUGUCGUGACUUCACGUCGUGAUUGGUACAACGAACGAGGAACAAUCCCAAAUCGGUGCCGAUAGAAAGAAAUGAAAGACAAACUGUAGUAAUUGAACUAUUAGGAGCAAGAAAACAAUCUGCGUUUCAGUGCCACCUCGCGGUAAAACAGAAAAUGUCGAGCUCCCAUAUUUUGUAUAUUCGUACAGAGCUUAUACUGGCAAAAAACCAGACAUCUCAGUGUUUGAUGAAGAGAAGAACUGUGCCCUGCGUUAAACCACGAAGACCCCGUUAUUCGUAUGAAAGCUACUCAGUUGCUUUCUAUGGUUCAUAAAAAUCUUUCAUCCGACUUGUUGUCCGAGACACAGACAACACAUACUACUGCAACGACUGUGACCGGUUGAAAAACCAUUAGGUAAUUCCAGCUAUUCUGGAGGGUGUUGACACUUGCCUCUAUUAAACACUUCCGGCGUGGUUCGGCCGUCAAACUUUCCAGCUACCAGUUUUUGAACAUUCCUUGUCCGAGCCAAGCGAAGGAUGAACGUGCCAAAUACAAAAAGUUGCUGGUGGCCAAGAUGGAUUCGUUACGAUUGCUGAAAAAAAUAUUGAGGAGCGUUUGACAUACCGGAUAUGAAAAACACUUGGACGAUAUAUGGAAUACUUUGAAAUUGGAGCUGAUGCCAGGUGGUGGCAACAAGGAAUAUCUGAUAUUUGAACUGGCGCUGGAAACAACGACUCAUCAAAUUUACACAAUUAUCGACUGUAAUGGGUAGCGUUGCGGACUAAAAUGUUUGAAAACGGUAUCAAAGUUCCACUGGCCUGUGCGAGAGGACCGUACGAGUCAGCACAUUUUGUGGCUAAUAAGCUUCUGCCUAUGACAUUAUCCCAAUUAAAGGAGGACGCAAUCACGGAACAUCUCGUGCUAAACCGAACGUUGUUGGUUUGCAUGAGGAAGGAACAUGACAUCUUGAAAUAAAUGGAUCAGCAGCCGCUCGAAGUUGUGCAAAAGCAGUUUGUCCAAAUUCCAAUUUCAUCUGGGAAUGCUGACCACAAUCCUAACUAUUUAGGAAAACAUCCUAGAUUUGAAGUGUGGCCUGGAUCAUUAAUUGGAAUCUACAGAAAACGACUUGAUGAUUCCCGGCCUUUCUAGAUGGAAGAGAUGAAGCGGAAUCCAGUCGAAGAAACGGUCUAACAGGACGAGCAUGUUUUCCCGAAACCGAUGUUUUGCGAUUUUUGGAGUGGGACGAAGAAUAUACCGUGGAUUUUUCUGGCACCUGCAGCCAAUGGUCCGAGUUGUCAACAUGAUCUCCACUGUAUAAUUUUGCCAUCAUGUUAAUGUUGCUGUUUAAGUUUCCUGUAAAAGAUCCAUAUAGGUAUUAACUACAACGUGCCGGAAGUUGACUCUGUUCGGACGUCUUGAAUUACGUUGGAGGUUAUGCUAGCUUAAUCUU